rnacentral:rRNA from 1 species
GUGCCAGCAGCCGCGGUAAGACAGAGGGUGCAAACGUUGUUCGGAAUUACUGGGCAUAAAGCGCACGUAGGUGGUCCGCUAAGUCGCGUGUGAAAUCCCCCGGCUCAACCGGGGAAAUGCGCGUGAUACUGGCGGGCUUGAGAUCGGGAGGGGUGAAUGGAACUCCAGGUGGAGCGGUGAAAUGCGUAGAUAUCUGGAGGAACACCGGUGGCGAAAGCGGUUCACUGGCCCGACACUGACACUGAGGUGCGAAAGCUAGGGUAGCAAACGGGAUUAGAAACCCGCGUAGUCC